rnacentral:rRNA from 1 species
AGGACAAACGCUGGCGGCGUACUUAAGACAUGCAAGUCGAACGGGCGCUUCACCUUCGGGUGGGUGUGCUAGUGGCGGACGGGUGAGUAACGCGUAGGAACCUGUCAUCAAGAGGGGGAUAACGCUGGGAAACCGGCGCUAAUACCGCAUGUGGUCAUGAAAAUGAAGAAAGCAGCAAUGCGCUUGAUGAGGGGCCUGCGUCCGAUUAGCUUGUUGGUGGGGUAAAGGCCUACCAAGGCAUCGAUCGGUAGCUGGUCUGAGAGGAUGGUCAGCCACACUGGGACUGAGACACGGCCCAGACUCCUACGGGAGGCAGCAGUUAGGAAAUUUUCCCAAUGGGCGCAAGCCUGAGGGAGUAACGCCGCGUGGAGGAUGACGGCUUUCGGGUUGUAAACUCCUUUCUGUGGAGAGUAGAGACGGUACCGCAGGAAUAAGCCUCGGCUAACUACGUGCCAGCAGCCGC